GUGCAGAUCCGCAGCUGGCAUUCGGUGUAUACCCACCGACGACUUCGACGCAAGGUAUGAUUCUUCGGCACCGGCUCGCGGUGGUUGCAGGGAAGCACAUGGGAGGAAAAUGGACACGCAGAGUAGUGAGCACAGGAAGUUGGAAUGCUGGGGCCAGGUUCUAUUAUGAGGCAAACAUUGUUGGUGUAAGCAUCGACAGCACAACGUACUCCCAGUGCUACCCCGCCAC